rnacentral:rRNA from 1 species
UGGGGAAUUUUGGACAAUGGGGGAAACCCUGAUCCAGCCAUCCCGCGUGUGCGAUGAAGGCCUUCGGGUUGUAAAGCACUUUUGGCAGGAAAGAAACGUCAUGGGUUAAUACCCCGUGAAACUGACGGUACCUGCAGAAUAAGCACCGGCUAACUACGUGCCAGCAGCCGCGGUAAUACGAAGGGUGCAAGCGUUAAUCGGAAUUACUGGGCGUAAAGCGUGCGCAGGCGGUUCGGAAAGAAAGAUGUGAAAUCCCAGAGCUCAACUUUGGAACUGAAUUUUUAACUACCGGGCUUGAGUGUGUCAGAGGGGGGUGGAAUUCCGCGUGUAGCAGUGAAAUGCGUAGAUAUGCGGAGGAACACCAAUGGCGAAGGCAGCCUCCUGGGAUAACACUGACGCUCAUGCACGAAAGCGUGGGGAGCAAACAGG